UGAAAAUAUGCAUUUUGUGGUUAAAGUGUGAAAAUUGCAUUUCUAUUGAUUUUUAUGGUAAAAACUUCAUAUUUUGUAGGUUUAAUGAUUCAAUCAUCAAAUGAAGUGCAUUGAGAAAAUAUUUGGAUGAUUGAAGAUGGAUUAAAAUGGUGAAAAUAAAAUAUAAAGUGUAAAAGGAAAAAUGCAAUUUGAAUCAAGAAAAAGUCAGCUUUGACAAUUCAGACACAUUUUCGUAUUUUGACUAUAUCUGGAGCUACACAGAUCGGAUCAAGGUAAUCUUGGUACCAUUUUGAAGCUAAGAGAUAUAUCUACAUUUGGUGUGAAGACAUCAAAGUCCAAUUCGGCUGUUUUCUUGGUCAAAAUGUCAAAAUACAGAAGUCAAAGUCUGCUGCUGAGAGCUGAAAACGCGGAAUUGACCAGUCAGUGGUAUUUUUAUCAUAUCUCGGUCUAGACAGCUCCAAAUUGGAUGAUUCUUGAGGCAUUGGACAGCUAUUUCAAUGGACUACAACUUCUAUGUUUUGUACAAGAGCUAAUUCAGCCGUCAUCAUAGAGAAAAUAGCAGUUGAAGUAGCCAGAUUCUGGUCAGAAAUAGCUGCUGGUACAACCUGUUUUCUCCUUCAACAAUUUACAGCUAUGGAUGAACGUAUGACAACCAAU
rnacentral:lncRNA from 1 species